GUGGGUGUGAUCUCAGGUGAUUGGAUCAAUGUGGGUAUGACCUCAGGGGAUUGGAUCAAUGUGGGUGUAACCUCAGGUGAUUGGAUCAAUGUGGGUGUGAACUUAGGGGAUUGGAUCAAAGUGGGUGUGACCUCAGGUGAUUGGAUCAAAGUCACUUCUAGUUUCAGGUACAGUGUCUGCUUAUUGG